CAUCCACUGUGGAAUUCGCCCUUAGAGUUUGAUCAUGGCUCAGAUUGAACGCUGGCGGCAGGCUUAACACAUGCAAGUCGAGCGGGGGAAGGUAGCUUGCUACUGGACCUAGCGGCGGACGGGUGAGUAAUACUUAGGAAUCUGCCUAUUAGUGGGGGACAACGUUCCGAAAGGAGCGCUAAUACCGCAUACGCCCUACGGGGGAAAGCAGGGGAUCUUCGGACCUUGCGCUAAUAGAUGAGCCUAAGUCGGAUUAGCUAGUUGGUAGGGUAAAGGCUUACCAAGGCGACGAUCUGUAGCGGGUUU
rnacentral:rRNA from 1 species